rnacentral:rRNA from 1 species
UCGAACGUCCCCGGGUAAGGGGGCGUGGCGGACGGCUGAGUAACACGUGGCUAACCUACCCUCGGGACGGGGAUAACCCCGGGAAACUGGGGAUAAUCCCCGAUAGGGGAGGAGUCCUGGAACGGUUCCUCCCUGAAAGGGCCAUGGGCUAUUUCCCGCUCAUGGCCGCCCGAGGAUGGGGCUGCGGCCCAUCAGGCUGUUGGCGGGGUAACGGCCCGCCAAACCUAUAACGGGUAGGGGCCGUGGGAGCGGGAGCCCCCAGUUGGGCACUGAGACAAGGGCCCAGGCCCUACGGGGCGCACCAGGCGCGAAACGUCCCCAAUGCGCGAAAGCGUGAGGGCGCUACCCCGAGUGCCCCCGUAAGGGGGCUUUUCCCCGCUCUAAAAAGGCGGGGGAAUAAGCGGGGGGCAACUCUGGUGUCAGCCGCCGCGGUAAUACCAGGCCCGCGAGUGGUCGGGGCGUUUACUUGGCCUAAAGCGCCUGUAGCCGGCCCGCUAAGUCGCCCCUUAAAGCCCCGGGCUCAACCCGGGGAAUGGGGGCGAUACUGGCGGGCUAGGGGGCGGGAGAGGCGGGGGGUACUCCCGGAGUAGGGGCGAAAUCCGUAGAUACCGGGAGGACCACCAGUGGCGGAGGCGCCCCGCUAGAACGCGCCCGACGGUGAGAGGCGAAAGCCGGGGCAG